rnacentral:rRNA from 1 species
UACGUAGGUGGCAAGCGUUAUCCAGAAUUAUUGGGCGUAAAGCGCGCGCAGGUGGUUUCUUAAGUCUGAUGUGAAAGCCCACGGCUCAACCGUGGAGGGUCAUUGGAAACUGGGAGACUUGAGUGCAGAAGAGGAAAGUGGAAUUCCAUGUGUAGCGGUGAAAUGCGUAGAGAUAUGGAGGAACACCAGUGGCGAAGGCGACUUUCUGGUCUGUAACUGACACUGAGGCGCGAAAGCGUGGGGAGCAAACAGG